rnacentral:misc_RNA from 1 species
GAUAAGAACGCAGCGAAAUGCGAUAAGUAAUGUGAAUUGCAGAAUUCAGUGAAUCAUCGAAUCUUUGAACGCACCUUGCACCCUUUGGCAUUCCGAAGGGUAUGCUCGUUUGAGUGUCAUUGUACUCUCACACUCUCCGAUCCUAUGGAUUCGGGGAGCGGUGGACUUGGGUGUUGCUGCCUUUCCCUGUGGCUCACCUCAAAUGCGUCAGUGCACCUCUUGGUUGGACAUAGUACGGCGUGAUAAGUGUCUUCGCCGGCACCUCGCAAGAGGGUGGCCGAUCAGGAGCUCUGUGCUUCAAACCGUCUUCGGACAAUCUUUGACAACUUGACCUCAAAUCGAGUAGGACUACCCGCUGAACUUAAGCAUAUCAAUAAGCGGAGGA